AGAUGGAUGAAUCUCCCCAAAUAUAUACUUUUUGGAAAAGCUGAUCUAAAUGAGUCAAAAUUCCUACUGUCUGCUCUCCUCGCAUGGAGCUCC
ensembl:snoRNA SNORD116 Small nucleolar RNA SNORD116